rnacentral:lncRNA from 10 species
CUUUUAUGCUUUUAAUCAGCAUACUUAAAAUUAUUAAGAUAAUACAGUAUUCAAAAUAUUUAACAUACUUCUUAUAACUCUCAUAUUUGAUCUAAAAACCAAUCUUACAAUAAUGUUAUCAAGGUUGUCUGAACGCAGAGCAGGCUUGGAUCAAAGACUUCACUGUAGCCCUCCCCAUGGAAACCUAUACUCCACUUAAAAAUGUUUUAUUCACUGAAAUUCUGGCCAACUGUGUUCUAACAUAGAAUACUUCGCUUAAAUAUAGGCACAUUUUUCCCCAGUUGCCUAUAAAUGUACAAUACAUUUUUAUACAGAAAACAAAUUAUGUACUCAAUGUCUACAGAAUUUUCUUGUACUUCAGUCUAGACAUUCUACUAAAAAGUAAGGUGACUUUAGGAUAGGGUGAUUAUUUUCCUGCGAUACAGUAAUGAUUAUUUGUUGCUUUUUCCCCAUGCCUCUUAAUAUAGUUUCAGAAAUAUUCUGAUCAAAGUUAAUUUAAAGUUCUAAAUGAUCAUUCUCAUCAUUUAGAGUUCAUGUGGUCAACUCUACUUCUGCCCUUUGAAAAUCAGAAUAUAUAUAUUUUUGUUUUCCAUUUUACACGAUUUUAAAUUGAUCAUUAAAAUUAUUUCUCUAGUAUUAUCUGUAUCUUUUUAGUGUUAUAAGAAUAUAUUAAAUCUACAUUAAUUUAAAUUAUUACUUUUUCUCUAUCUCUUCAUCUAAGCUGGAAUUCAGUAUCCCUUUAAUAACGUAAGGUCUGGCCGGGCGCGGUGGCUCACCCCUGUGGUCCCAGCAUCUUGGGAGGCCGAGGCGAGCGAAUCACCUGAGGUUGGGAGUUUGAGACCAGCCUGACCAUCAUGGGGAAACCCCGUCUCUACUAAAAAAUGCAAAAAUUAGCCAAGUGUGGUGGCGGGUGCCUGUAAUCCCAGCUACUUGGGAGGCUGAAGCAGGAGAAUCACUUGAACCCUGGAGGCAGAGGUUGUGGUGAGCCAAGAUCAUACCACUGCACUCCAGCCUGGGCAACAAGAGCAAAACUCCGUCUCAAAAAAAAAUUAAUAAAAAACAAUAAUAAUGUAAGGUCUACUGUGAAAAACCUAAAGAACAUUCUUCUACAUAAAGAUGAGAGCAGGAUAGUAUUGAUAAUCAUACGUUGUUUAUUUUUACCAAUAUUUCAUUUUUUUACAACAACCUCUUGGAAUAACCAUGAAAAAAAACCAGCUAUCUAUCUAUCAUCUAUCUAUCUAUCUAUCUAUCUAUCUAUCUAUCUAUCUAUCUAUCAUCUAUCUAUAAAGGUGAGGUAGAGAAGUUAACCAGCUUGAUUCAGGUCAUAUAAAGCUUAGAGCAUGACAUCAUGAACUCAAAUCCAUGUCACACCUACAAUAUUGUUUUAUUGUUUGGGUAACUAAAAGAAUAUUGGUUGUAGAAAAAGAUACAUAAACUUCAUAUUCUAUUAAGCAAUUUUGCCCAUUCAGUUAAGUUAUAUAAAACCCAAUAAAUGGAAUCACUUUUUCCUGUCUUUUUCUUUUUAUUGUCUCUUUAAAAGCUUUAGUUCCUUUUUAAAAAUCACACUUGGGUCAUUAUCAAUGCUUUUUGCAAGCAUCAGCUCUUUCUGGGUUUUAAUUUGAUGUAAUUCAUUAGUCUUUCUGACACACCUUACAGGUUUGCACCACUCUCUGAAACUGCCCUUGAUUGAGUAACCUCCUUGUUCACUUUUCUGACUUAUUCUUCUAAAACCUGAGCUCUCCAGUGAUUUGGGAGAUUUACCCUCAUUGGUGACUUGAAGUUUCUUCUUCUUAUCUUCUUUGCUAGAAUAACUUCUUGUUAAACAAUCAGAACUCAUUGUGUUUCCUCUCUUCUUCCUGAAUCCUAUUGGCUUUUAUACAUUUUAGGAGCAGAAUUGAACUAAAGAAUAAAAACAUGUAUUUUUCAUGGGAAAUUUUCUCUUGGUCCUUUUAUUGACUUUGAAAAUGGAAAGAAAAGAAUGAGAAAGAAAAGAAAAGAAUAGCAAAGUAAAGAAAAAAUUCUUUUUAAAAAGCCCAUAGUUAAUGAUUAUGAAUCUACUAUAAAUUUCUUAUUAAGUUCUCUUUAAGCUCUACUGUAGAUACAUGAUCCCAUUUUGGUUUUUCAUAUUUGAGUCAAUAGACCAUAACUUUAAAUGUGUAAUUUUCCCCAGAGUAGUGGAAAGCUCAAUUCCAUAUUACCAGUAUUAUUUUGCAAUCAGACUUCUAGAUUUAAGUUGUACCGGGGUGAAAUUAUGAUGUAAGAUUUAGCAAGCAGAAGUGAAGUGCAGGGCACCAACUUUUGUUCCAAAUGGAAGGAAGUUUGGAGGUCUAAGUACAAUUAUUAUAUUCUGUCUGGAUUAAUUUCCUAUGUCUAGUUACCAGCUUUUAAAAUAGAAAGAUCACCGUGAUUGUAGCAGUAGUUUAAUUACCAGGGACCGUGGUACAGCAAACACAUCAUGUUUCAUGCCUACAUCUCAGUAAUUCCAAAUGCAGUGAGCUUGGGAUGAAUGAAUGAAGUGAUCAGUGUUCUCUCCUUCUCAUCCUGCAGUUAUCCUGCCCAUUCCUAAGCAUCUAAUUUCCAAUAUUCAAUUCCUUUGUGUUUAAAAUCUUAGUUUCUACGAUCUGCCCUGAACACUGGCAUUCAAUGAGUUUUCAAACUCAGCACUGAUUACUACUUAUUUCUAGAAACUCUGUUUUGUUAUUUUGAAAUUCAUCGUUUUCCCAAAUGUUCUGUUCUUUUCUUAGGAAUUCUUUUUAUAUUGACAUACACAGUCAUUUUUAAGAGGUAUUUUGUUGUAUUACCACCUAAAAGAGUUGUAUGUAUUUUAUAGGUAGCAUGCUCUUUCAUUUCUGCUGCUGUUUUCUCUGGCUUACCUUCUGGGUGUGCUGAGAUGGAGAGCAGCGGAGUGGACAGUGACACGCGUCUCUACCGCACCUAAUCCUGUUGAAUCUCUCCCGCACCUAAUCCUGUUGAGUCUCUCCAUCAGUGGCACGUCCUUGUGGCCCUCAGGAGGUCACGGGUGAGUUCUGCAGGCCCACUCAGGAGCCUCUCACUGCACAAUUCCGUAACUGGUGGGUCUGCUGGGGGCGCCAUGGCUCCCAGUUCCUCUCAGCUCCAGCCUCCCCUCUGUGGUUGGAAGCUCACUCACUACAGGCUCCUUCGUUACAUGCUGGUUCCAGCAACGUGGUUCAGGUCUCCUGGUUCAUGGGAAAUCUCUGCUUGGUCAUGUGGAAACAGCCCAGGUCACUCCGUGACUGUCCCAUGGACAUCUUGCUCCAGCUCUGGAGCCUGUCUGCUCACACCGGCACCAGGGGCGAGUCAGCGAAACUGAGAGGCCAGCAGAUGUUGACAAUGGCAGGAGACCCUGGACUUCUCAUUGUGCAGACGUGGUGACUUUUCUGGAAUUCCACUUGCGUGUUUUUUUGUUUUGUUUUGUUUUUGAGGCGGAGUCUCGCUAUUUUGCCCAGGCCGGACUGCAGUGGCGCGAUCUCGGCUCACUGCAAGCUCCGCCUCCCGGGUUCGGCCAUUUUCCUUCCUCAGCCUCCCGAGGAGCUGGGACUACAGGCUCCCGCCACCACGCCCGGCUAAUUGUUUGUAUUUUCAGUAGAGACGGGGUUUCACCGUGUUCGCCAGGAUGGUCUCGAUCUCCUGACCUCGUGAUCCACCCACCUCGGCCUCCCAAAGGGCUGGGAUUACAGGCGUGAGCCACCGCGCCCGUGUUUUGAGGAGGAAGGUCAGAGCAAGGCGCCUCCCCGGACAGAAGAAGUGCGAGACGCAGCCCCUCCCGCAGCAGAGCAAUAACUCACGGUUUGUGAACCUGUGGACCUUAUUUGAGCAUCACCGGUUGCAAGUAUGUGGAGGAGGAGAAGAUGCAAAAAGAGAAAUUGUUUACUUGCAGAGACACAGAGCGCCUGGGACUCAGGAAUGCCAGGGAAGACAGGGUGUGUGGCUCACAGUGCUCCCAAAUGGAUAAAACUAUAGAAGCCCACCAUCCUUUCCUUCCUCGCUUUCAAAAUGCCCCCUACACAACCUACGGUUCAUCACAGUGACCUGGCAAGCCAAGAAAAAAAUGACUUACGAUCCCUGCACAUUUUCUAGGAAGGCAGGGAGGCUGCUGAUACACAGUUCUAAGGGUUCCUUCCAAAAUCAUUAGCACACCUACUAUUUAUUAUAAGCACAUAGCAGCUGGGCAUGGGGAGACUCCAACAUCCAGAGAAGCUGAGAUUUUUUUUCUGUUAUUGUUGAUUAUUCUGGUUGGAGAUUUAUUAAUUUUGUUGAUCUUUUCAAAGAAUCAGCUUUUGUUUUCAUUGAUUUUCAAUAUUAUACUUUUUUUCCGUCUUAUUUCUGCUCUAAUUUGUAUAUUUGUUUUCUUCUGCUUAAUUCAGAGUUGCAGUUCUCUUCUUUCUCUAGUUCCAUAGAGUGGAUGUUUAGUUUCUUGAUUUUAGGCCUUUCUUCUCUUCAAAUGUGUGCAUUUAAUUUCAUAAAUUUUCCUCUAAGCAGUGCUUUAACUGUAUUCCACUAAUUUCGAUAUGUAGUAAUUUCAUUUUUAUGUAGACUGGAUAUUUCUAGAAUUUACCUUGAGAUUUUUCAUGACCCAAGUAUUACUUAGUAGCGUGUUGUUUAGUUUCCUAAUAUUUAAAUAUUUUAUGUCUAUAUUUCUGUUACUGAUCUCUAGGUUAAUUUUAUUAUGAUUUGAGCAUAUACUUUGUAAGCUUUAUAUUAUUUUAAAUUUGUUUAGUUGAGUGCUGUGACUCAUAACGUGGUCUAUCUAUCUUGGUAUAUGUUCCAUGUGAGCUUGGAAGGAUGUGUAUUAUGUUUUGGUGGAUGAAAUAUUCUAUAAAUGUCAAUUAGAUAAAGUUAAUUUAAGUGAGGUUAUUGGUGAUAGAUUCCUUCAGGUUUUGUUUUUCUGCGAAAAAAAAUCAUGUUUUAUUUUUCAAGGGUAAUUUCAAUGGACAUAAAAUUCUAGUUUGAAGGUUUUAUUUUCUUUCAAUACUUAACUAUUUAAACAUCUCACAUCACUGUAUUUUUGUUUGCAUGAUAUCUGAUGAAAAGUCCACUAUAGUUCUUAUCAAAGUUUGUUCUCCAUAUAUGAAACACUUACCAGUUCAGGAAUGUACACUGUAGGUGCUGUUCUAAAGCAAAACUAUAUUAUCACUAUUCCCUUUAGGAUAUGAAUAUUUUAUUUGGAAACCAUCAUGAGAUGGCAAGAAAAUUGAUAAAAUUGGUAAGGAUAUGUCUUCAAAUACAGACAUAAGUGGAAAUCAAAUUGACUCAAGACUCUAUCUGUCACACGUAAUGAAAUGUUACAAAUGUUGAGAAUGUCAAAACCCUCACAUGUGAGGCUAGAUCAGCUGACCAGGCUGAUUUUGCCUUGUCAGAUCCUGAGCAGGGAACCCAGUUGAGCCCCUGGGUAUCUGAACUCUGAGGCUUAGUAAGUGGCUGCUGCUUUAAGUGGUAAGUGUGUGGUGAUGUGUGAUGCAGCAAUGGACGCAAACACAGUUUGUUGAAACCACAUUCCUCCUACUGUUUCCAGUUGUAUCAAGGCAAGCUAUACCUGGGACAAUACACUUCAUGCUAACUCACAAUUUUGACAAAUUGAUCUUCUUAUAUAUCAGUAUUGGAACAUUUUUAAUAUAAUCAUGGUAAUUUAAUUUCAUCCAAAAUAUUAAUAGCGUAAAAUAUCUAUUUUUCUGAAUUUAUAGUUUUGUGAUUAAAUAAUGAUUAAUUCAUAUUUUGGGAAUUUUGAUUUUAUAAGUCAGACAGAAGAUGGGCAGAAUUUGGUCUUCCUACUGACUACCUGUAAAACUUAGUAUUUGAUAACUAAAUUUAAUUUGAUAUUUUAAAAUUAAACAACAUGAUAAAAAGAUUAAAUAGUUUAAUAGGAAACACAGCUUUCUGAAGGUCCUAAAUUUAUAAGAAUAAUGUCUUCAUGGCACAAUUCUUAUGCUAAUUAAAUAUGACAAUAUAUCUGCCAAAACAUAAUGCAAAAUAUAUUUAUAAUAAUACUAUUAAAACAUACAUUUUAUGUUGCAAUAAACAUGAGAGUUUAAGUUGUAAUAAAUUCAAGAGUCUAAAUUGUAAUACUUUCAAAAGUAAUAACAGUUUUGUUUUUAAGCAUUCUAUAGUUAAGAGUAUUGGCUAAUCCAACCUGAAACUCCCUUAUUGAAUAAACAUUGUCAAGCUCAUUAGAUAAUAUGCAAAGCAGAACUCAGACUGUUAGAUUAUGCAUUUGAUGUCCCUUUAAUGUAAAUUGGAUGGUCACAUGCAACUACUUUC